AUGAUAAUUUCUUGUUUGUGUUUCCCACUGUAGUUCCCAGUUUAAAGCUGUCCUUACUGUGUCUCCUUGCUCCACCAUUACGCCUGAUGUCAGCAUUCAGGUGGCAAGUGGCUCGGCAGCAUAUUGUAAAGCAUUAUGGGAAACUGGAGGAGUUUGUGACUUUGGUGACAGAGGUGGUUCCAGAGCUGCUGAGUUCCAGGCAGAGGACCCAACUCCUCCUGGGUCUGAGAGCAAGGCUGGUUCUGGAGUUGUGAGUCAGGGAGAGCACCGGCUUCACCUGGACAAAAUCCAUUUGUUAACAGAAUACGCUAUACACAAGAAGAGUAAUGAUGAGUUGGAGGCUACAGUCUAACUUUGUGGAGUUGGUCCAAACUCUGCUGGGAGACCCUUCUGAGAGGGAGCACUUCUUCAGGAGGUAUUCCCAGUACAUUACGGCCCUCGGCAUGACACAGUACUGCAGGUACUAGUGUGGGAGUUCCUCUCCAGAUUGGAGGAGCUGCUACCUGUACCAGACUUCAGACAGGUUAUUUGUCUUACUACACUGCAGAUACCAUCCUGUCCCUCCCUCCAACAAUAAGAGUUGUCAUUAGCUUGGAGCAGGCCAGCUCUGACAAAAUGAGAUCAUGCUCAGAUGGAGAUAAAUGCUUCAAGAAUGGGACAGAUAGAGCAGGAGAUGGAGAAGAGAGAGAAGGACAAUCCAAUGGGGUCAGAGAGGAGGAAAAAGAUAGGCAGACUGAAGAGGACUUCUGGUCCGUGUAUCCCAGUACCCAGCAACAGCAAGGAAAUUCAAGUAAUUACUAAAAUAUUUGACUUCAUUUUACAGCAUUAUUAUCACUGUUAUUUAUCUGGUAUUUAAAAUGAAAUUACUUAACAAUUGGUACCAUAUCGUAAUUAGCAACUUGGAAAUGAACAGAAUCUGUAAAUUCUUGAUAACA